UAGGGAAUAUUGCGCAAUGGGCGAAAGCCUGACGCAGCAACGCCGCGUGAAGGAUGAAGGCCUUCGGGUCGUAAACUUCUGUCAGAUGGGAAGAAGGUUUGUAGGUUAAGAGCUAGUGAACUUGACGGUACCAUCAGAGGAAGUCCCGGCUAACUCCGUGCCAGCAGCCGCGGUAAUACGGAGGGGACAAGCGUUAUUCGGAUUUAUUGGGCGUAAAGGGCGCGUAGGCGGCUUGAUAAGUCAAAGGUGAAAUCCCUCGGCUCAACCGGGGAACUGCCUUUGAAACUGUCUGGCUAGAGUUCGGGAGAGGUGAGUGGAAUUCCAAGUGUAGAGGUGAAAUUCGUAGAUAUUUGGAGGAACACCAGUGGCGAAGGCGGCUCACUGGCUCGAUACUGACGCUGAGGUGCGAAAGUGU
rnacentral:rRNA from 1 species